rnacentral:rRNA from 1 species
CCGGGAAACCGGGGCUAAUACCGGAUGGUUGUUUGAACCGCAUGGUUCAAACAUAAAAGGUGGCUUCGGCUACCACUUACAGAUGGACCCGCGGCGCAUUAGCUAGUUGGUGAGGUAACGGCUCACCAAGGCAACGAUGCGUAGCCGACCUGAGAGGGUGAUCGGCCACACUGGGACUGAGACACGGCCCAGACUCCUACGGGAGGCAGCAGUAGGGAAUCUUCCGCAAUGGACGAAAGUCUGACGGAGCAACGCCGCGUGAGUGAUGAAGGUUUUCGGAUCGUAAAGCUCUGUUGUUAGGGAAGAACAAGUACCGUUCGAAUAGGGCGGUACCUUGACGGUACCUAACCAGAAAGCCACGGCUAACUACGUGCCAGCAGCCGCGGUAAUACGUAGGUGGCAAGCGUUGUCCGGAAUUAUUGGGCGUAAAGGGCUCGCAGGCGGUUUCUUAAGUCUGAUGUGAAAGCCCCCGGCUCAACCGGGGAGGGUCAUUGGAAACUGGGGAACUUGAGUGCAGAAGAGGAGAGUGGAAUUCCACGUGUAGCGGUGAAAUGCGUAGAGAUGUGGAGGAACACCAGUGGCGAAGGCGACUCUCUGGUCUGUAACUGACGCUGAGGAGCGAAAGCGUGGGAGCGAACAGGAUUAGAUACCCUGGUAGUCCACGCCGUAACGAUGAGUGCUAAGUGUUAGGGGGUUUCCGCCCCU